CAGUAGCCACGGGAAUACGGAGGGUGCAAGCGUUAAUCGGAAUUACUGGGCGUAAAGCGUGCGUAGGCGGUUCGUUAAGUCUGUUGUGAAAGCCCCGGGCUCAACCUGGGAAUGGCAAUGGAUACUGGCGAGCUAGAGUGUGUCAGAGGAUGGUGGAAUUCCCGGCGUAGCGGUGAAAUGCGUAGAGAUCGGGAGGAACAUCAGUGGCGAAGGCGGCCAUCUGGGACAACACUGACGCUGAGGCACGAAAGCGUGGGGAGCAAACAGGAUUAGAUACCCGCGUAGUCCCUGUCUCUUAUAC
rnacentral:rRNA from 1 species